UACGGGGGGGGGCGAGCGUUGUCCGAAGUUACUGGGCGUAAAGCGCGUGUAGGCGGGUUGUUAAGUCCGCUGUGAAAGCCCGGUGCUCAACGCCGGAGGGUCGGUGGAUACUGGCAGUCUUGAAGUGGCUAGGGGGAAAUGGAAUUACCGGUGUAGCGGUGAAAUGCGUAGAUAUCGGUAGGAACACCAGUGGCGAAGGCGGUUUCCUGGAGCCCACUUGACGCUGAGACGCGAAAGCUGGGGGAGCAAACGGG
rnacentral:rRNA from 1 species